UCUACUGGCCAUGCCACCCUGAACAAGCCUGAUCUCGUCUGAUCUCGGAAGCUAAGCAGGGUCGGACCUGGUUGGUUAGUACUUGGAUGGGAGACCACCUAGGAAGACCAGGUCUUUAGGC
rnacentral:rRNA from 1 species